CGAGUAAACGGCGGCCGUAACUAUAACGGUCCUAAGGUAGCGAAAUUCCUUGUCGAUUAAAUAUCGACCUGCAUGAAUGGCGUAACGAGAUGGGAGCUGUCUCGAAGAGGGAUCCAGUGAAAUUGUAGUGGAGGUGAAAAUUCCUCCUACCCGCGGCAAGACGGAAAGACCCCGUGGACCUUUACUACAGCUUGACACUGCUAUUGGGAUAAAAAUGUGCAGGAUAGGCGGGAGGCUUUGAUCCAUAGACGCCAGUUUAUGGUGAGCCAUUGUUGAGAUACCGCUCUUUUUUAUUCUGAUAGCUAACUAGCUUGAGUUAUCCUCAAGUAGGACAAUGUCUGGUGGGUAGUUUGACUGGGGCGGUCGCCUCCCAAAAUGUAACGGAGGCUUACAAAGGUUGGCUCAGAACGGUUGGAAAUCGUUCGUAGAGUAUAAAGGCAUAAGCCAGCUUAACUGCGAGACAUACACGUCAAGCAGAGACGAAAGUCGGUCUUAGUGAUCCGGUGGUUCUGUGUGGAAGGGCCAUCGCUCAAAGGAUAAAAGGUACCCCGGGGAUAACAGGCUGAUCUCCCCCAAGAGCUCACAUCGACGGGGAGGUUUGGCACCUCGAUGUCGGCUCAUCGCAUCCUGGGGCUGUAUUCGGUCCCAAGGGUUUGGCUGUUCGCCAAUUAAAGCGGUACGCGAGCUGGGUUCAGAACGUCGUGAGACAGUUCGGUCCCUAUCUGCCGUGGGCGCAAGAAGAUUGAGGAGAGUUGACCCUAGUACGAGAGGACCGGGUCGAACCAACCACUGGUGUACGAGUUGUCCUGCCAAGGGCACCGCUCGGUAGCUAUGUUGGGAUGUGAUAACUGCUGAAAGCAUCUAAGCAGGAAGCCAACUCCAAGAUGAAUCUUCUUUUAAGAGCUCAUAUAGACUAUGUGUUUGAUAGGCUGGGUGUGUAAUGGAUGAAAGUCCUUUAGCUGACCAGUACUAAUAGCUCGUCUGCUUAUCUUU
rnacentral:rRNA from 1 species